rnacentral:lncRNA from 1 species
UUCCACAGACUCAAUAAAGCGAAAUGCUAGGGGAUGUGACAAAGAAGAGUUGAGCUCUGCUUGGAGGAACCCACAAUCAAGGAGCAGCAGGAGAGAGAGACAUAGACAUAAACAGCUCCGGAGGACGUUGGAAAUAUUCUGAGAGGCUUUGACAAUGUUUCUUGAACUCAGGAUUUGACUUGGCCUUGAAGGCGUUGGACUUUGAUAGGUAGGAGUCAGGGGAUAGGACAGGGUACAAAUGUGAAACAAAGAAAUGUCUCAGAUCCUUUGCAAGCUGAGAGAGGCUUUCUUGGAAACAGGCCCCAGUCCAGGUGAGUUCAUGGGUCCAAACCGCCGAGAGCUUCUCCAGGCAGAGUUGAGGAAUCCAUGAGCCAGGGAGAGUGAGGGCGGGUGGAGUCAAGACAGAGGAGGUUCCGCGGCUGAGGGGGAGAAUGUUGUCAGCAGGAUGGACCAGGAAACGAUGUGAAAGGACUGGAGGACUUGAGCCGGGUCACUCAGCCAGUUGCUGGUGCAGAUCGUGAACUCAAAUCCAGCUUCCUAACUCUCAGCUCAAACACCACUCCUCCAGGAUGAAUGUCAUAGUACGUUCCAGGCCAUCCCCAGCAAUGGCCACCGGUGGUCUUGGGAGAUUGCACCCCAGUGGACAAAUGCAGCCUUUGGAAGGCUGAAAGACAAAAGACACGGAGAUGACAAAGUUAGAAGCUUCCAUUGGUCCUUUUGUUUCUUGCUUCAACCUCUUCCCUUAGGAUCAAAAGCACUCAUAUUACAUUAACAUCCAUUCCUGUGAGUGUAGAGUAAAACCCACUUUGGCAGGAGCAAACCUCCACGCCCCUGUUCUCCGAGGGAUGCUGCUCACCUGGUCUGUCUGCUCCGGAACCUUGACUGCAAUUAACAGUUGGAUCCAUGGAGGACAGCUUCCUUUCUUUAACAAAACCUCUAGAUUUGUUUAAAAUUUCAGGUCUUUAUAAAGACCCUCAGAAUAAGUAGAGAUUUAUUGAAUCCAUACUCUGGCAACCAACAACAUAGGGUUAACCAAAUAGUUUAUGCAAUCAAAAGUAUGUGUACUAAAUAUACGAAAAUACAGAGAACAGUUCUGGUGCUAACUUUUAAUCCCUCCCCACUGAGCAUUUAAUCUGAUUCUUAACCAGAUUUCAGUGAGGUUGCUGUGGCCGUGUUGGCCUGUCAGGAUCUUUUCUUUCCCUGAAUGUUUGCAAGUAAUCCCCUCCUAGGCGGCAUGCUGUUCCUCAUCCAUGCUUGUAGUCGUCAAAAUGGUUAUUUCCUUGCAUGAAGGCUUUUCAUUAAUUUUCUUUCUCCAUCUGCAGUUGCCCAAGGUGCUGCCUUUAAGAAGGGAAUCUUCAUCAACUGUGUUUCUGUUGGGGGCCAGAUAUGUACGUAUGUAGAGCAGAAGUAAACUGCAAGUUCCAAGAGGGCAAGGAUGCCUUGUUUAUGCCCAGAAUCUACCACAUACGUACACUCCAUAACUAUUUGUGGAAAGAGUGAAUGAAGUUAUCCAUCAAGUUGAGACUGGGUGAUUUAAAAACAGCCAGCAGGGGGUACAGCUGCCAAUAGCCCAAGAUCAUCCAAACGAAAGAGAGAGCCUCUGUCUAUCUUACAUUUGGAGAAAUCUGGGAAAGGAUUCAAACUGGUCAGGUAAACAUUUUCUCUCCUGAAGAGUCUUGUGGUCAAGAGAAUAAAAAGUCUUCCUUGUUGGGGCUGGCCCCGUGGCCGAGUGGUUAAGUUCGCGCGCUCCGCUGCAGGCGGCCCAGUGUUUCGUUGGUUCGAAUCCUGGGCGCGGACAUGGCACUGCUCAUCAGACCACGCUGAGGCAGCGUCCCACAUGCCACAACUAGAAGAACCCACAACGAAGAAUACACAACUAUGUACCGGGGGGCUUUGGGGAG